GCCUCUGUAGCUCAGUUGGUUAGAGCACUGCACCGGAAUCGCAGGGCCGUAGGUUCAAUUCUUACCAGAGGAC
rnacentral:tRNA from 1 species